UACAGAGGGUGCAAGCGUUGUUCGGAAUUAUUGGGCGUAAAGGGCGCGUAGGCGGUGCGGUAAGUCUGUAGUGAAAUCUCUGGGCUCAACUCAGAGUCUGCUACGGAAACUGCCGUGCUUGAGUGUGGGAGAGGUGAGUGGAAUUCACGGUGUAGCAGUGAAAUGCGUAGAUAUCGUGAGGAACACCAGAGGCGAAGGCGGGUCUCUGGGCCGAUAUUGACGCUGAGGAGCGAAAGCGUGGGGAGCAAACAGG
rnacentral:rRNA from 1 species